ACACUUGUUUUUCUUUCUCCUUUCUUACCCCUUUGCGUUACGUGUAACAAGUCAGAUUGUAGUUAUGAAAGUGAGGAAGGAAAGCAGCUUGCUAGCACUCUCAGGCUGAACUCUGCUACUGGUCUUGUUUAAACCUCUCGGUGACAGCCCAAGGGUGUUAGUCACACGAUUGUUUAGGAUGUGCAAUCAGCCUAGGCUAAAAUGAUGUCAUCAGGAAGAAUUACUCUGGGACUUUGCAAAUCUGCAAUGUAGGAUUUACUGAGGAAAAUGAAACCAUUAGCUCUUUUUACCCCUCCCAUCCCCCAUGGUUUUGUCUUUUAACUAGGCAAAUGAGAAGAUUCUAGAGGAUAUUAAUAACUACUCAUUGCAUCAUCAAGAAAGAAUAGCUAAGAGGAGACUUGGAUAAAAACUUUAUUUCUUAACAAUUCUCACUGGGGAACAAAGCAGUUUAACAGCCAAGUAGCUAGUCCUCAAAAUGAUGAUUCAACACGUUAUGUAAUGCUGGAUACAGAAAGAUGGAAUCUCUACAAUGUAUCUGCUUCCAACAUGACCAUGAAUGGCUGCUGAUGAACGGUGUCAGUCUGCGCCUGGGAACGGAACCUGGCCUGCUGAAGUGGAGCAUGCUGAACUUAACCAGUAGGCCACAGGGCCAGCCCCAACUAUUAUUAUUAAUAUUAUUAUUCAGAAAGUCCAAGAUGGGGUAUAGACUAGUCUAGGCUGUGUGGGAAACUAGUAACACUUUCCUCAGUGUCCUCCUUAGUCUUCUCGGACCUGGGGAGGAAGUACUGCUCUGUGGGUCACAGAAAUGGACGGGGAUGAGUUGGUGGGGGAGGGGCUUUGAGGCACAUUGAAGAGCUGCUUUUGACUUCCCAGUAAAGGCAGUCUGCCUGUCUUGGCUCAGUUCUGCACUGAGCCUCUUAUUGGGCUUGGGACCCAAACAAUUGGAACUUCCUCUGCCUUUGAAGAAUUUGCCAGCUAGGUGGGGAUUCAAGGACAUUCACACAAGAUGCAGCUUCAGCAUAAUAAUGAGGAAGCAUCUCUAUUAACAAGAACAGAAUGACAUGGUAAAAACUUGAUACACUUAUGAUAAAUGUUUAGGGCAAGAAAUGCUUAUUGACAAGUCUAAACUCUGGAGAGCUGGGUAAAAUUUUCUGAACGUGCUAAUACCAUUCAUAGCUCUGUGGAAAUCAAGCAGAGAGGCCCUUUAUUACCAGCCCUUCCCCACCCCUCACCCCGCCCCGCCCAAACCUGCCUCUCUGCCCACUGUGUCUGUUUCUCUCCCCAAGCUGUGGUCUGGACCAGCCAGUGACACAUAAUUCCAAAUCCUGCCCACAGUCUUCUGUGACUUUGGAGGAAAGGCCAGAGUGUUUUCCUAGGGGAGCCCCGUGUUUUCACAUUUUAAAGCAGGUACUGGUGGAGCGAUGAAUGGUGAAAGCUCUCUCUUUAAAAGACCGAGGGUGGCUUUAGGUGACUGCUAAUUUGGGCUUUUGCGGAGGAUGAUGUUUACUUCACAGACUAAUGACAGGGCUGGCUUUCUGGGAGUGUUGCAAUGAAAAAGAUUCAGACUCCACGGAACUCCUCCCUAGCAAGGCUGCUCCAGCCAGCAUUACGAGGGCAGUUCCACUGAGCUCAGGAUUUGGGUGUGAGACACAGCUUUCGUCAGAAGAUUUUUAACCAAAUGUGUGUGUGGUUUUGUCCUCUGGAUAAAUGUGUGGGUUCAGUAGCAGCCGUAUCUCCUCGCCACAUUCUCUUAGCUGGUUAUGCGACUGUGAGAAGAAAAGCAAGAACAAAACAAAAAACAUAGUUGUGACUCUAUAUUAGUUAAAAAUACACCUAUGGAAUUUGAAGGCACCACAGAAGUCAUCUGCAAAUGGGAAAAACUGAAGCCCAGAGAAGGAGAGUGCCCUGUCCAAAGUCACACAGCAAUGCUUUGUAGCAAAGGAGUGGGAACGUGGAGGAGGAUGGGAGAAGCGAGCUGACUGUUACUGAGUGCCUUUAAGUGUCAGGCAUUGAGCCCACAGCUGCUUCCCGUGUGCAUCAUUAUCGAGGAUCCAAGGAACCAAGACAGAUGAACGAACACAGUGCAAAGAACCCGAGCUGUAGCUCCAGCAGAUCUGAGUUUGAAUCUUGGCUCCAACACUCAUUCGUUGUGUGGCCUUAGCAAGGAUUUGACCUCCUCAGCCUCGUUUUCUCAAGUUAUAGAGGGGGUGAGAGUUCCUGCCUCUUACAUGUUUUAGAAGCCAUUCAUUUCACACUUACAGUAAAAUGCAGAUAAUGAUGAUAAAGAAAGUCACAGUAGUUCACAUGUAUUGAGUAAUUACUAUAUACCAGACACAGGUCUAAGCACCUCCCAUAUAUUAACUUAUUUAAUCCUUAUAACAACUCUUUUGACAGAGAUUAUUAGAAUCCCCAUAUUAUAGAUGAGGAAACUAAUGCACAGUGAGGUUAAGUACGUUGCACAAGGCUCCAUAGGUAGCAACUGGGAAGUUACACUCAGUAAGAGAAGCACGGAAAAACCCCUGGGACUGGGGGUGUGCAGAUCUGCAUGGAUUGGGAAAGAGCUGGCCUUGUGCCACCACUGUGCCUUGCUCUGUCUCUGCUCAGGUGGGAGCUUAACAGGUAAUGCUGACAACAAUCAGUUUCUUUUUCCAGGUCCUCCCUGCCUUGGUCAUUUUCCCCAGAGGCUUCUCUCUCUAUCUCCAGCCUUGAUUUCCUCCUUGCUGCUUUUCAGCUGCAGCCCUUGUGACUCAGUUCACCUCUCCUACAGGCUUUCUCUCCUCAGUGAGGUCUUGACUCCAUCAUGCCUCAUAAAUCUCCACCCCGUAGAACACUCAGUUUCCUGUCUUUUGCUCCUCUGGUUUCUCUAUUUCCAGGUACCCCAUCACUUCCCUAUCGUCUCUUCUUAGAGUCUGAUCCUGGGAGGCAACUUAUCCUGGCUUCAGCUCCCUAGACUUUUACUCCCAGGAGCAUUUGGCCCAGUGGGAGUAGGCAGAGGCUAUAGGACGUCUGCAUGUCAGAGUAGAAGGAGGGAGGUUGGACGUGAUUGACCUUAAGAGUACUUUAAUAAAGCAAACACCGAGCUAGCAUGUGCUGGGCCUAGUAUAGGGAAACAGAGUCAAAGGAAUGGCACCUGGAGGUCCUGGUCACCCAGACCUGAGAAGGCCAUGUGGCUUCAAGUUUGAAUUUCAGGGGCAAAGUUGUCAAUUCAAGGCCUUGGAAAGUAAGUUGAGCCCCCACUGCUGGGCUUCUUGCUGCAAUGCAGCUCUCCACCCCCAUUCUCUGAAUUUGUCCAAGAAGCUACAGGUGGUGGCAAAAUCAUCUGAUGAUGAAAAAAAACCCCACUUUGAUUACCCAAGGCAAACCUGGAAGAGUAGAGAUCCAAAAAAAUCCCACACUUCCAGGUCUGAAAACAGGUUAAAAGAGUGAAUGGAACUUGUGACCCUACAUGGCAAACAAUGCUGUUCCAGCUGGGGGAGCGCGGUGCUCAGCAGCCACAGUAACUGACCAGGAACACACCCAGCUCAGCAUCUCAGAUACAGCCAAGGCCCUGAAGCCUUCUCUCCUGGUGAUUCUGCUGCUGUUUGAAGCCCGUGGGUCCCUCCUGGAGGUGGAGCAGCCGCCCCCCUAUCCCGGCCCCCGCAGCAGCCCGUGCUACUCUGGGCCUGGAGGAGGGAGCAACCUGACUGAUUACACCCACUUCCCCAAAGCUCCUUUUAGUGCGGGCUGUUCCACUUUCCCUGUAGCUUAGCAACCUGAGCCCCUGACAGCUGAUUUACUGGAAAAAAGCUUGACUUUCUGAAAACAACUUUUCUUUUUCCUUCCUUCCUUCGUUCCUUCCUUCUUUCCUUCCUCUCCCUUUCUUCUUCCUUCCUUCCAAAUAAUCAAACCUUGACUAUUACAAGGUCCUUGUGAAUUCCUCCCAGGGAGGCAGAUUUCACUUCCUCUUGCUUGUGUGCAUUCCUGCAUGGACACCAGCCUUCUCCUUGGUCCUCCAACCACGGGUUUCUCCCCAAGUCCCUCCUCCAUACUGUAGCCAGAGUGGUCUUUCUAAAGGUCAGUUCUGAUAAGCUUCCUCUCUUGCUUAAAACUCUCCAAUAGUUCCCAGGAGAAAUGUUCUCGCAGGAUCCUGCAGCAACCAGCCCUGCCUAUCUAUUUGAUGUCACCCCGUUCUUCAUCACACUGUCAUACCCUCUGCCUCACCAGAUUAUAGUUCUCUUUCUUGUCUCCAUGUCUUUGCAUAUGCUGUUCUCUCUGCUCAGCCCUACUUCUGUUUACUUAGCUGUGAAAUAUUCUUUAAGAUCCAGCUUAAAUACCGGCUCCUCUUUGAACCUUCCCUGAUGGCUCUCCAGGUAGAACUGAACAUCCCUUCCUCUGCUUCGGUGGGUUAUAUAUGGCCUUCUACUGCAAAAGUCUGUUUAUGUGGGAUUGUCACUAGACUGUGAACUCCUGGAGGCAAGGAGUAGUCUCAUUCUCCAACGUGUCCCCAGAGCCCAGCACAGUGCCUGACACACAGAGUGCAAUCCAUAUGUGAUCAAAUGAGCGAAUGAGGAAUAUUGGAAGGAAGGAAGGAAGGAAAGGAGGGAUAAUGGGAGGGAGCAAGAAAAGAGGGAAGGAAGGAAGCAAGGAAGGAAGAAAGGAAAGAAGGAGUAUGUGAUAGAAACAAGCGAGUCUGAACAUCCAGAAGCCAACAUCCAGGGAAGUGGGGAAUGAAGGCCAGAAUGACAUCUGGCCACCAGGAUGAAAGCAGCUUCUCAUUGAUUUGCAGGCCCCAACCUUGUGGAUCAAAGGCAAAGAAAGGUGGGCUUCUGGAGGCCUGGCACAAGUACAUGGUACCAGCUGAACCCAUUUGCUCUUACAUCUAUUCCUUGCCUAUUUCUUGCUCUGCUCUGAACCACAGGGAGGCUGACCACUGAAGGCUUCAUGUCAGUGGCUUCUGGGUGGGUUUGACCAAUGGGAGGUGUUGGUGGGAAGCUGGAGGUAGGGAGGAGGGGAGAAGCUAGGAUACUUUUCCCUGUCUCUCUCUAGUGGCAUUUCUGACAGUGACUGUUUCUGGGUCUCUGGUUCCUGCCAGAUAGACCUGCUACUAUUCCGGCUUUUGGUGGGUGACCCUGGCCCCUGGGCUCAGGUAAUUCUGCUUCUCCUUCUCCUUGUGCACCCAGCCCUUGAAGGGGUGAGCAUUACUUCCGGCUGCUUGGGGUUGCCUCAUCAUCACCUGGUAGAUUUCCCAACUCCGCAGUCACUCGUGUAACCAAUUCUCUGUAUUAAAUCUCCCUUGUUGUAAGUAUUCAGAGUGGUUUCUCCUUUCUAGGUUGGACUCUGACUAAUAUACCAGCUUAGUUAGUGACUGUACUUUAGAGAGUAAGGUCACUGAUGUUUAUCUUGGAGGAGGUGGUGUAUUUCUUUUUGUAUUUUUCCAGUUAAUUAUGGGGCAAGGUUGUGUGUGUAUGAACAAACCAGCUGGAUACAUUUGUGUGGUCUGCCAGACCACAUUGUUGCUCAGUUUGAGCUCUGAGGGCUCCCUGUGCAAGUUCUGCAUAGGCAACAUGCCCUCUGGACUUCAGAGACUCUGCAUGACCCCUGCCUGCAGCCCCAGCCCUAGUGAGAAGACAGGAGUCGGGUCUCAGCCCCUGAGUUCCUGUUGGAAAAGUAGCAUAAAGAAGGAUGUUGGGGAAGCCAGGAACUGGUGAAAGGAGAGACUGAGAGGCAUGAAGAAGGAAGGAAAGGAAGGGGAAAGAGAGAAUGGAACAGGUGUAUCCGUGUGUAGCACAGUGUCUCUACAUAGAAGGGCUCAAUGGGUAUCUGCUGAAUGAAUGAAAGACUAGAGGAAGUAGACGGAACAAGUAGAGAGUGUGGGUAGUACUGGCAAAGACCGAGCGGACCUUUGUCUCCAUUCCUGCUGCUGUCACCCUGCUUCAGGGCUUCCAAACAGGUCACCUAUGACAACAGCCUCCUAACUGGUUUCCUGGCCUCCAGUCUUCCUGACCACUGCUUCAGUAGUCUUUUCCAAAAUCACAAUCUCAGUUGCUUGAGCCUAAAUGUGUUAGUGGCUCCUGGAUGAGUAGUGAUUAAAUUCUGUCGUGUACUUGUGAGCCUCAUCUUCUACUUUACUACCCUACUUUCCACCUGGACUCUUCACAGUGUUCCCCACUCCUGGAACGUGUAGGGGGAUGGACAUGUCCUUACCCUCAGACCUGCUCCCUAAACCUGCUUCCUCGGUUUUUAUCUUUGUCUGUUUGAGGCCUGGGACGCUACCGUGACUUGGGACAGGGUUGGGGAACAGAAAGUUGGGUAACUAAACUCACAUCUGGCCCUUGACCCCACCUCCUGCUCUCCCUCUCCCCAUAAUUCCUUUCGGCUCUUGAAGAGCCUGGGACGGUGGUCCCACUGCAGCAGCCUGGAGGUCACUCAGAGGUUCUCACACGCCGGGCUCCUGAGAGAGAAUGGGUGGGGAGCCAGGCUGUUAGUGCCAAAAGGGCCAGCUCCCCAAGCAGGCUUUCUUCCUGCUCAGAGAGGUCUCACCGUGACUGCUGCCAAGCUGUGUAUGCCAGAGCAGAAGUACAGACUGGCUCUGUGUGAGUGAGAAGACAAAUGAGCAUGUCAAAUGUGCUUCCCCAUAGCCUGGCAGGGUAGGCUGGGACUGCAUGGGAAGCCAGGCUGGGACUGGAAGAUUUUUGCUGACUUUGCUGGAAGAGCUGGAAGACACCUACUUCAACCACGCCACUCGAAUUCAAUCCAAUUAACAUUUGCAGAUUCCUGUGACACGACAUGGUGGUUUUGAUUUGCACAGACCUGGGUGUGAAUCUUUGCUCUGUUGCUUACCUGCUAUGCAGGCAAAUUACUUAAUCUCUCAUUUUCCUCAUCUGUAAAAUGGACUAAUAAAUACUCUCCUUAUAGAGUACCAAGUAUUUUGCACCUGAUAAUGCUUCAAUAAAAGGACACUAUUAUUAUUACUGCUAUUUAUUAAUUUAUUAUUUGACACCUCUUGGGGCUAAACUCUGCUUGGCCUCCAGGCUACAGGUAAAGGCACAGAGAUGAAUAAGAGCCUGUCAGUACUUUAGGGAGCUGACAGUCUAGAGCAGAGGUGGGCAAACUACAACCGAUGGGUCAAUUCUGGCCUAGUGCCUGUUUUUGUAAACAAAGUUUUAUUAGAACACAGCCAUGUCCAUUCACUUACAUACCGUCUAUGACAGUUUUCAUGCUGUAAUGGUGGAAUCAGGUAGUUGCAACAGAGACCAUAUGACCCACAAAGUCCAAAAUAUUUAUCAAUUCGAUCUUUAUAGAAAAAGUUUUGCUGACCCUGGAGAGGAAGAUAGAUAUAUAAUCAGGAUGAAGCCUGUUGCAGGAAAGGUAUAAAUCAUCUAAACUGACAGCCCAGAAAAAGAGACAAGCAAUUCUGACUUGAGUGGGCAGCAGGGUUUUUAAGCCAGGCCUUGAAGGCUAAGAAGGAAUUUGAUUCCCAGAGCCUGGGAGUGGGGAGAGGUGGGAAUGGAUAUGUCAAGAAGGACCAUGGGAGUUUUAAAGGGAUAUAGUGCAUAUGAGGAUGGAAGGGACUGGAAAUUAAAUGGCUAGUUCUCUUUGGAGUCAGAACUUGAACCUGGCUCAGUGCCUUGUAGAAUUUACAUCACAUUAUAUUUAGAUGGCAUUCCAUAAAAUACAAAAUGCAUUAACAAAUACUAUCUUAUUUUAUCCUCACAACCACAUUGGGAGGUAGGUAUUACUAGCCUGAUUUUACAGAAAAGGGACAUUAAAAUGAUUAAGAAUCAUUCAGCCAAGAAGUGACAUUGCUGGGCCUUGAUCCAGGAGUGGGGUCUAUGACCAUGGCUAGGAUGCAAAACCAGUGCAGGUUGGAACUGUCACAGGAAUAUGUCUGAUUGCCUGGUGCCUGAUGUAAAUGACAGGCCUCAAAACAUAGGCAGGGUGACCUCAGGCCUUCAUAUCCUCUGGGUCAUUCAAAAUUCAAUAUGUCUUUAGUAAAGAUCUGUUGUGUAUGUGCACAGAGCUAGAUGCUGAGAGAAAAGCCCAGGGAAGCAUAAGACAAGAUCAUAUUGGUGUCCAAGGGCUGUAGGUUUAAGAGGGCAUAACCCUCAAAGUCCCGUAACGGCAUGAGGCCAUGUGUGCUGAGUGACCAAUGUGUGGUGCUAAUGACAAGGGCACAGGAGUUAGAGGCUGUUUCAGGAAUGCUCCAUAAAGGGUGUGGGGCUGGAGCUGGGGUCUGGCUAAGCCGAUGCCAUGGAUUAAUUCAGGUGGCCAUGUGCUCACAUUGCAAAAUUCUCAUAAAACCAUAGAACCUCAGAGAUGGAAGGGACUCUAGUUCUUCCUAUCAGUUUACAGAUGGGAAAACUGAGUCCCAAAGAAAGACUGAGUUGCCUAAUAAGUAUGAUAUGGACUCAAACCCAGGUUUCUCUUUGAAGUUCAGGCCUCUUUCUAUAGUCCUGUUUUGUACCGUUCCUCUGAAUUAACCCCAUAGCCUUUGGCUUUUCCUUUUCAAAUCUGCCCUAUAGAGUGCUCAUAAAUGAAUACUUCAAAAACUCCAGUGGGUGCAUGCCACUCUUCUUGCUCUCCUCUCCCUACCUGCCGUUUUUAAUAUCUCCUGGCUUCCUUCAGGAUAAAGAUCAAGACUUAGCUUGAGAGGCUGUCAAGGAUAAUGGAUAAGAAUGUGAGAACUGGUAUCAAACUCUGGGUUUGAACCCCUGCUCUACUACUUAAUCACUGUGUGACCUGGACAAGUAAUAUAAGCAUUCUGUGCUUUAGUUUCCUUGUCUUUAUAGUGGAAGUAAUCAUAGUAACUACUCAGAAGGUUGUAAGGAAUAAACAAGAUAA